AAUCGAUCGGAUCAUUUUUUUUUGUGCAGGAAAGGUAGGAAUCAAUUGUUCAUAAGUGACGAUUGAUCAAUUGAUCAAUAAUGAAGACUUUUCAUAAUCAUCAUACUUUUUUUCAUCAACAUUUGGAUUCAAUAAUUGUUUUUGUUGAAGAAGGAUUUUACCUGUACACAUAGAAGAGUAACAUCUUUCAACCUAUAUACAUUUUGUCUUUGAAAAUGUGGGUUGCAGUUUGCAGAAAACGAUUACACUAUAGCUACACUUAUUGGAUAUUUGUAAGGAAAGCUAACAGGACCUAAACAAAACAGAACAAAACAGUACAGUACCUUUUAGGGAACAUUCUCAAAUUCAGUAUUUGACAUCAUGCAUUAAUUACUGGAAAAGACAGGAAAACAACUAAACAAAGAAAUAAUCCAUAUAUUGAAGGAGCAUAAAUUAGUUUCCCUACCUAUCAAGUCAGAAACAUUCUGCGAUGCUACAAGAUCACGUUAUGAGGGCAAACAGCUAUAUUAUGGGUCAUCCUGUAGUUCUGUUGAUGGCAAGUCUAUUCCAAGUGCCUUUUCAAUGAAAACACAGGCACAGAUAUGCAUCGUACAACCUAUAUACCUUUUGUCUUCGAAAAUGUGAGUGGCAGUUUGUAGAAAACGAUUAGACUAUAGCUACACUCUUGGAUAUUUGUAAGGAAAGCUAAAAGGACCAAAAACAAGACAGGCUGAUGUUCACUUUUAUCAAACAACUUGAGAAUGCUAAAACAGCAUUACAACUUUGCAAAUACCUUUUAGGGAACAUUCUCAAAUUCAGUAUUUGACAUCAUGCAUUAAUUACUGGAAAAGACAGGAAAACAACUAAACAAAGAAAUAAUCCAUAUAUUGAAGGAGCAUAAAUUAGUUUCCCUACCUAUCAAGUCAGAAACAUUCUGCGAUGCUACAAGAUCACGUUAUGAGGGCAAACAGCUAUAUUAUGGGUCAUCCUGUAGUUCUGUUGAUGGCAAGUCUAUUCCAAGUGCCUUUUCAAUGAAAACACAGGCACAGAUAUGCAUCGUACAACCUAUAUACCUUUUGUCUUCGAAAAUGUGAGUGGCAGUUUGUAGAAAACGAUUAGACUAUAGCUACACUCUUGGAUAUUUGUAAGGAAAGCUAAAAGGACCAAAAACAAGACAGGCUGAUGUUCACUUUUAUCAAACAACUUGAGAAUGCUAAAACAGCAUUACAACUUUGCAAAUACCUUUUAGGGAACAUUCUCAAAUUCAGUAUUUGACAUCAUGCAUUAAUUACUGGAAAAGACAGGAAAACAACUAAACAAAGAAAUAAUCCAUAUAUUGAAGGAGCAUAAAUUAGUUUCCCUACCUAUCAAGUCAGAAACAUUCUGCGAUGCUACAAGAUCACGUUAUGAGGGCAAACAGCUAUAUUAUGGGUCAUCCUGUAGUUCUGUUGAUGGCAAGUCUAUUCCAAGUGCCUUUUCAAUGAAAACACAGGCACAGAUAUGCAUCGUACAACCUAUAUACCUUUUGUCUUCGAAAAUGUGAGUGGCAGUUUGUAGAAAACGAUUAGACUAUAGCUACACUCUUGGAUAUUUGUAAGGAAAGCUAAAAGGACCAAAAACAAGACAGGCUGAUGUUCACUUUUAUCAAACAACUUGAGAAUGCAAAACAGCAUUUCAACUUUGCACACAAUUUCUCUACCUAUCAAGUCAGAAACAUUCUGCGAUGCUACAAGAACACGUUAUGAGGGCAAACAGCUCUAUUAUUGGUCAUCCUGUAGUUCUGUUGAUGAUCCAAAAUCUGCAUCAGAGAGAGGAAAACAUGAACACUUCAUCUAAAUCUAUCAACUUGGACACACAGAAGGAGAGAAUAGAAAGAACUGUCAACCAGAAUGAAAUUGACUUAGCAUUGUAGACGUUGUUACGGUAAAAAGGCUCCAAAUGUCUUGAAUAUGGACAAUGGCGGACAAAUAAAAGUCAGGCGAUUCAUAAAAAGCACAUUCUUUUAACUAACAGUACCAAAAAAAUCCACAAAAGGAGACGAAAUCAAGAAACUACAUGAACAAUUUCUGUGAAUCAUGUCGUUUAACACGAUGGCUUAGUACAAAGUUCAGAAUUGUUCAUGAACAUGAAAUCCAAUGUAUCUAAAUGUAUUUAACUUUCCCUUUGGGAACUUAUCUCCAAUUUGUAAAAUUAAUCAGAUUUUUACUUCUCAAUGAUGCAUAUCCAUUAAUGAAACAUUGGUGUAACUGUUGAAUAAAAUAUUUUUUCUCACUUAUAUAUCAGACUUAAUUGAAUUGCAUUCUAAUUUUAUAUCUAACUAUACUAAUGUCAAACAGUACUUGUAUAUAUUUGAAUGCACAAAGUGAAUGUUAUCGUUGUAAGAAUAGAAUUAAAUAUUGCUACACUUUAUAAAGAUUCCUAGCACAUAAAGAAGUAACUCAGAUAAAGAACGUUUGCAAAGGGAUGUCAUUAUAACUAUGAAUAUAUACUAAUAUUCUGUUGAUCAACAUGAAAGGGAAGCAACUCCCCUUUAUAAUUGCAGUUGAAAAUGUCCCAGAAGAGUUAUCACUCGUUUCAUUGAUAUUGGGAUAUUGAUAUUGCUUUCCUCCAAAUUCAAACUUUAUCAUACAUGAUUUCCUUUUAUAUGUUUAAAUGUCGUAGCAGAUAUAUGUAAAUAUCUCGAAUAGCAUGUAAAGAAACUCAUCUUAAAUGAUAUGGAAAAAGCAACAUCAAAACAUGCUUUUUUGCUGCUAAAGCUUCUUGAAAAAUGUUAUUUGUAUAAACAGGAAACAAGAGUCGCUUUUUUUCCAGUCUGCUUGUUGAACGUGAGCCAAGGAAUAAAAAGAAAAAUACAUGUUACAUCCGAAA